rnacentral:sRNA from 1 species
UGCAACUAGAUCUUAAAAGCCUAAGUAUUGUAUUCUUGUUAGAAGAUACAAACACGAAGACUCAUACGGACUUCGGCUACACAAUCAAAGCUUUGAGAAUCAAGAAGAAGCUUGGUUAGUGUUUUGGAGUCGAAUAUGACUUGAUGUCAUGUGUAUGAUUGAGUAUAAGAACUUAAACCGCAACCGGAUCUUAAAAGCCUAAGUACUGUUUCUUUGUUA